UACAGAGGGGGCAAGCGUUGUUCGGAAUUACUGGGCGUAAGGGGCGCGUAGGCGGCCUGUUAAGUCGAACGUGAAAUCCCCGGGCUCAACCCGGGAACUGCGUCCGAUACUGGCAGGCUUGAAUCCGGGAGAGGGAUGCGGGAUUCCAGGUGUAGCGGUGAAAUGCGUAGAUAUCUGGAGGAACACCGGUGGCGAAGGCGGCAUCCUGGACCGGCAUUGACGCUGAGGCGCGAAAGCUAGGGGAGCAAACAGG
rnacentral:rRNA from 1 species